GACUACCCCAUGCCAAGUCUUCCCGUGCAACUCUCCCUCCCGGCAAAGCCCAAAUGACCUGUCAGUCACUCUAUCAAUUGAACAGAAGAAUGAAACUGGUCACACAAGUCAUCUGGCAUCAGACAGACUCUGCCAUUGACAGAUGUGAACAAUCCGUUGCCAUGUGGACUCCUUAUACAGUUUCGCCAUUUGCCAAAGCAAUGAUUCCACUGCUUCCAUGUGGGACACAAGGGACGCAAGUAAGAACUAAAAGAAAGAACCUCCUCUACUCCUGGGUCACAGGUCCAGAGAGGAGGGCCCAGAAAAGGAUACCCAAGUCCUGGCAACAGAUUUGGUGACCAUCCUUCAGCCUUCCCAGUUGCGCUUGCCAUUUUCAAUAUCACUCAGAGCUGUGGUUCCAAUUCUGUCCCCUUGUGUCUCCAGCAUCUCUCCCUCCCAGGGAGGCAGCUUCGCUUUUGGUCUUCAGUGGGGUGGAGAGGUAGUCCCAAGAGAGAGUCUCUCAUGUGCCCACAGACAAUUCGUUCCUGGUCUUCUCUUCUGAUUUCUGCUUUGAUGGCUACCGUUUGAGAGUGGUUUUAUGUCCAGUGCGAAUAAAGCUAACAUCUUACAACAACCACUCAAGUGAAAGAGUGAGAUAUUUCUAUUUUAAGUCAACAUAUCUACAAAUCAGAUUGAAUGCC